rnacentral:rRNA from 1 species
UGAGGAAUAUUGGUCAAUGGGCGAGAGCCUGAACCAGCCAAGUCGCGUGAAGGAUGACGGCCCUACGGGUUGUAAACUUCUUUUGUCAGGGAGGCAAUUGAGUCCACGUGUGGGCUUAGCGAGAGUACCUGAAGAAAAGCAUCGGCUAACUCCGUGCC